AGCCCGUGAUGAAUCUUUAAUUCUGACACCUCGAAUGAGUAUUGCAUUAGCAAUGCUUGAUUACAUUACCUGGCUGAGGCUC